CCUGAUCCAGGUAAUCUGGAACAGAUGAGGCUGGAUUUCUGGAGGCCGGCCCUCGAGGCCUGGAUUUGGACACCCCUGGUCCAGAGUGACCCCCGCCUUCACCUGACAGAGGGAAGGAUAGGCUCCAGCAACCAUGGCACCAUGCAGCCCACGGCCGGGCCUGGUCAUGAUCAAUGGUCGACCGUGGUCGAUCCCUCAUCAGAUUUACCUCAUAAACCUUCGUCCCACCAAGAAUCCAGAUGGUUUCGAUGAUGUCAGCCAGAGGGGGCAGUGCCGCCAGCCGCACGGCGCUCUCAAAGUCCGCACACAGGAACUGGGCGUGGUUUGGGACGGCGCUGGAAGACACAUCAGACAAAGAUGAGCCGAUGACGUCGGCGCCCUUCGGAGUGACGGCACGUUUCCUGCCGCCGUCGCUCACGUCAGC